CCUACGGGAGGCUGCAGUCGAGAAUCAUUCACAAUGGGGGAAACCCUGAUGGUGCGACGCCACGUGGGGGAAUGAAGGUCUUCGGAUUGUAAACCCCUGUCAUGUGGGAGCAAAUUAAAAAGAUAGUACCACAAUAGGAAGAGACGGCUAACUCUGUGCCAGCAGCCGCGGUAAUACAGAGGUCUCAAGCGUUGUUCGGAAUCACUGGGCGUAAAGCUUGCGUAGGCGGUUUCUUAAGUCGUGUGUGAAAGGCGCGGGCUCAACCCGCGGACGGCACAUGAUACUGCGAGACUAGAGUAAUGGAGGGGGAACCGGAAUUCGCGGUGUAGCAGGGAAAGGCGUAGAAUCGAGAGGAACACUCGUGGCGAAGGCGGGUUCCUGGACAUUAACUGACGCUGAGGCACGAAGGCCAGGGGAGCGAAAGGGAUUAGAUACCCGGGUAGUC
rnacentral:rRNA from 1 species